rnacentral:lncRNA from 1 species
ACUUUGAGAGGACGAAGCGGGCGGAUCACGAGAGACGAGGUUUUGCCAUGUUGCCAGGCUGGUCUCCAACUUCUGGGAUCAAGCAAUCCUUCCGCUUGAGCCUCCAAAGUGCUGUGAUUGCAGGCGUGAGCCACCGCGCCUAGUUUAGGUUGAGCAGCGAAAGGGAUAGGGCCCAGUGCUUUCUCUGCGAGGUUCAGUUGGCCUGUCCCUGUCCUAUCACCGUUUGUCACCGUUUGGGGAGCGCCACGGAAUGCCCUGUCUCCAAUCGAGAGGUGCACUCGUCGCCCUGGCAACGGAGUCCG